UAGGGAAUCUUCGGCAAUGGACGAAAGUCUGACCGAGCAACGCCGCGUGAGUGAAGAAGGUUUUCGGAUCGUAAAACUCUGUUGUUAGAGAAGAACAAGGACGUUAGUAACUGAACGUCCCCUGACGGUAUCUAACCAGAAAGCCACGGCUAACUACGUGCCAGCAGCCGCGGUAAUACGUAGGUGGCAAGCGUUGUCCGGAUUUAUUGGGCGUAAAGCGAGCGCAGGCGGUUUCUUAAGUCUGAUGUGAAAGCCCCCGGCUCAACCGGGGAGGGUCAUUGGAAACGGGGAGACUUGAGUGCAGAAGAGGAGAGUGGAAUUCCAUGUGUAGCGGUGAAAUGCGUAGAUAUAGGGAGGAACACCAGUGGCGAAGGCGGCUCUCUGGUCUGUAACUGACGCUGAGGCUCGAAAGCGUGGGGAGCAAACAGG
rnacentral:rRNA from 1 species